GCCUUCAUGGUGUAACGGUAGCACACUCGGCUCGUAUUCGAGAGGUUCAGGUUCUAGUCCCGGAGAGAGCA
rnacentral:tRNA from 1 species